AUACAGCAGCCUGCUGGACCAAUUGUGUAGUGAUCAUGUUCUCCAACAGAGGGGGCUGUGCAGCUACACUUGGUCGCGCGCGCGCCGCUACUUCAUGAGGAACGUCGUAAUCUGGAUCUGGACCAGAGCAAAGCGCCAUUUUCGUCAAAUAUCACAAUAAACAUCGUUAUCAGUUUCAAGAGAACUCAGACAGUGACAAGAAAUAAGAGAAAGGACAAGGCGACGAAAGUGCAGCAGGAAAGAAGUAAAGAGAGAGACAGAUCCUGGUAUGAGUGAGGGGAAAAAACAGCAUCAUUAAUAAGUGCGAGUGUCCAUCUGCUGUCAUCACUACUCACAGACACUUGUUAAUGAGGCUUCAGAUUCGACCCUCACUGGUGGAUUUGAUCAGGGUUUCUGAGCACUGGGUGCAAGGAUGUGUGACCUGUUUACAUUCCUGUGUGAAAUACAGAUGUGCUCCUACAGAUAGGCGCUCUAGAUUGUGGUCAGUCUGCGGUGUUCCAAGACACAGUUCGAACUGUCUGAUCUGUGACGCACUUCCUUUGCUCUGCCAUCUACUGCUACCGAAAAGACUUGGCCUCAGCAGCCACUUCCUGCCUGAGAUGAGCGUCUUCUCUGUGGUUUUGAUGAUCAUAGAAAGAUGAUUCGGGAGACGUUUUCAGUCCGGAAGAAACAGCUGAGUGUUACGAUCGAUGAAUCCUGUAUCGGGCCCCGGCAGACUUCAUGAUCCGUGAGGAGGUUAAUCAGAGUUAAUCAGAGUAACUGACUGCUCUGAGCUAGCGCACACAUCUUGUGUGUAUGUGUUUGUGUGUUGAGCAUUUAUGAUUGUUAAAUCAACAUAACACAUUUGUGAGGUGUGUGUUUCUGUUUAUUAGGGUGUGUAAGAAAGAUUGUGGGUGUUAAUGUAUGCAUGAUAACAGGGAGCCUGAGGUACGUUUGAUGUGUAUCGCAACUCCUGCUCUAUGCUUUUUGAUAACCCCACGUUUGAAGCAUUUUUGUGCCUUCACUCUCACUCUUUCCCUUCAUCUCCCAUCUCACCAUCUAGUCCUAGUGUGUGCUGACAGGAAAUAGAGCUCAACAGCAAUCCGUUGCCGGUGAAGAGGAUAUUUUUAGAGAGUGUGUCAUUCAGAGAGCAUGGCAGUACUUGUGUGAAGUCAAUUUUGCCUGGAGGGGGAUUUAAGUUGCAGAAAACACUGGUGUGUAUUGUCAAGACAAGCCCGCCUGCUCCCAUCUCCUCUCUGCUCCUUCCAGAAGUGUGUAACCAGAACAUUGAGACUGUGUGUGUUUGUUUCAAAGGAAACAGGCAGGAUUAAAAAGGUUAAAACCUAGAAUCUAUCAUACUGUUGCACUGAAGAUUUCACUUUAUUUCGACAAAGAGAUUUUUCUCUUAUUGCAGUGUUCAGCUUUUCUAGCCUCAAGCAUUUGGUCCAAGGUCUUGAGAGGUGAUAGUGGACACUGAACCCAUUUAGCACUGAACUGAUAUAUCAUAUCCCCACUGCUGACACUCUUAGCCUCUUAACAAGUGCUCUUAACUUCCUUUCUCACCCUCUGCUCUGCUCUGCUCAUUGUCCAUAGCAAAGUUACAAAGAAACUCAAGUGUUUGUUUUGCUUUUGCCACAUGAAUGGGCAAUUCACAUUUUGCAUAUGAAAUACCAGACAUUCAAAGUUUCUGCUUAGUGACAUGCAUACGGUAGAAUAAUAAAGGAAGGAAGAAAAUAAAACACAUUCCAAUCAUUUUUGUUUUAUUUACAACUUUGAAAGAUUAAAAAGAAAGCACAUCCAUCCAUCCAUCCAUCCUAGAUAAAAUGAUUCUCAUAUGAAAAGGCUGAACCUUUAAAGAGCAAUCUGAGCAAUAUUUUUUUCCUUUGGGAAAUUCUAUUAUCAAAACUAUAUUACAUUCUCAUCACUCCACAAAUGAUCACUGAUGGCAAACUGCUGUAACUGUGAGUGAG